UACGUAGGGUGCGAGCGUUAAUCGGAAUUACUGGGCGUAAAGCGUGCGUAGGCGGUUCUGAAAGUCAGCUGUGAAAGCCCCGGGCUUAACCUGGGAAUUGCGGUUGAAACUACAGGGCUAGAAUCUGGCAGAGGGGGGUGGAAUUCCACGUGUAGCAGUGAAAUGCGUAGAGAUGUGGAGGAACACCGAUGGCGAAGGCAGCCCCCUGGGCUGAGAUUGACGCUCAGGCACGAAGGCGUGGGGAGCAAACAGG
rnacentral:rRNA from 1 species